rnacentral:rRNA from 1 species
CCUACGGGUGGCAGCAGUGGGGAAUAUUGCACAAUGGGCGCAAGCCUGAUGCAGCCAUGCCGCGUGUGUGAAGAAGGCCUUCGGGUUGUAAAGCACUUUCAGCGGGGAGGAAGGCGUUAAGGUUAAUAACCUUGGCGAUUGACGUUACCCGCAGAAGAAGCACCGGCUAACUCCGUGCCAGCAGCCGCGGUAAUACGGAGGGUGCAAGCGUUAAUCGGAAUUACUGGGCGUAAAGCGCACGCAGGCGGUCUGUCAAGUCGGAUGUGAAAUCCCCGGGCUCAACCUGGGAACUGCAUUCGAAACUGGCAGGCUAGAGUCUUGUAGAGGGGGGUAGAAUUCCAGGUGGAGCGGCGAAAUGCGUAGAGAUCUGGAGGAAUACCGGUGGCGAAGGCGGCCCCCUGGACAAAGACUGACGCUCAGGUGCGAAAGCGUGGGGAGCAAACAGGAUUAGAUACCCUUGUAGUC